rnacentral:sRNA from 1 species
GAGCAAGGCAGAGCGGGCCACGGAGCUGGCAGCCGAGGGACAGCUGACGCUGCAGCAGUUUGCGCAGUCCACGGAGAUGCUGAAGCGCGUGGUGCAGGAGCACCUCCCGCUGAUGAGCGAGGCGGGUGCUGGCCUGCCUGACAUGGAGGCUGUGGCAGGUGCCGAAGCCCUCAAUGGCCAAUCCGACUUCCCCUACCUGGGCGCUUUCCCCAUCAACCCAGGCCUCUUCAUUAUGACCCCGGCAGGUGUGUUCCUGGCCGAGAGCGCGCUGCACAUGGCGGGCCUGGCUGAGUACCCCAUGCAGGGAGAGCUGGCCUCUGCCAUCAGCUCCGGUAAGAAGAAGCGGAAACGCUGCGGCAUGUGCGCGCCCUGCCGGCGGCGCAUCAACUGCGAGCAGUGCAGCAGUUGUAGGAACCGAAAGACUGGCCAUCAGAUUUGCAAAUUCAGAAAAUGUGAGGAACUCAAAAAGAAGCCUUCCGCUGCUCUGGAGGUAACGGCGCCUUAGAGGGAGAAGGUGAUGCUUCCGACGGGAGCCGCCUUCCGGUGGUUUCAGUGACGGCGGCGGAACCCAAAGCUGCCCUCUCCGUGCAAUGUCACUGCUCGUGUGGUCUCCAGCAAGGGAUUCGGGCGAAGACAAACGGAUGCACCCGUCUUUAGAACCAAAAAUAUUCUCUCACAGAUUUCAUUCCUGUUUUUAUAUAUAUAUUUUUUGUUGUCGUUUUAACAUCUCCACGUCCCUAGUAUAAAAAGAAAAAGAAAA